rnacentral:rRNA from 1 species
GGUGGGCACUCUAAGAUGACUGCCGGUGACAAACCGGAGGAAGGUGGGGAUGACGUCAAAUCAUCAUGCCCCUUAUGACCUGGGCUACACACGUACUACAAUGGUCGGUACAACGGGAAGCGAAGCCGCGAGGYGGAGCCAAUCCUUAUAAGCCGAUCUCAGUUCGGAUUGCAGGCUGCAACUCGCCUGCAUGAAGUCGGAAUUGCUAGUAAUCGCGGAUCAGCAUGCCGCGGUGAAUACGUUCCCGGGUCUUGUACACACCGCCCGUCACACCACGAGAGUUUACAACACC